rnacentral:tRNA from 1 species
GAGGUUGUGGCUCAAGUGGUAGAGCACUUGCCUUGCAUGUGUGAGGCACUGGGUUUGAAUCUCAGCACCACA